AAAAAGGGCUUCUGCCGUGAGUGGCACGCGGGGAGGGCGGCUGCGGCCGGUUCCCUUUUCCCGCGCGGAAUCGCUAUCAAGAGAUUUCGGAAGCAUAAUUUUUGUGAAGGGGGCAGCUGGCAAUCGCUUGUUCCGGCUCCCCA